rnacentral:rRNA from 1 species
UACGUAGGGUGCGAGCGUUAAUCGGAAUUACUGGGCGUAAAGCGUGCGCAGGCGGUGAUGUAAGACAGAUGUGAAAUCCCCGGGCUCAACCUGGGAACUGCGUUUGUGACUGCAUCACUCGAGUACGGCAGAGGGAGGUGGAAUUCCGCGUGUAGCAGUGAAAUGCGUAGAUAUGCGGAGGAACACCGAUGGCGAAGGCAGCCUCCUGGGCCAGUACUGACGCUCAUGCACGAAAGCGUGGGGAGCAAACAGGAUUAGAUACCCGAGUAGU